UACGAAGGGGGCGAGCGUUGUUCGGAUUUACUGGGCGUAAAGGGCUCGUAGGCGGCCAACUAAGUCGGACGUGAAAUCCCUCGGCUCAACCGGGGAACUGCGUCCGAUACUGGAUGGCUUGAGAUUGGGAGAGGGAUGCGGAAUUCCAGGUGUAGCGGUGAAAUGCGUAGAUAUCUGGAGGAACACCGGUGGCGAAGGCGGCAUCCUGGACCAACACUGACGCUGAGGAGCGAAAGCCAGGGGAGCAAACGGG
rnacentral:rRNA from 1 species